GGGACACGUGGUAUCCUGUCUGAAUAUGGGGGGACCAUCCUCCAAGGCUAAAUACUCCUGACUGACCGAUAGUGAACCAGUACCGUGAGGGAAAGGCGAAAAGAACCCCGGCGAGGGGAGUGAAAAAGAACCUGAAACCGUGUACGUACAAGCAGUGGGAGCACGCUUAGGCGUGUGACUGCGUACCUUUUGUAUAAUGGGUCAGCGACUUAUAUUCUGUAGCAAGGUUAACCGAAUAGGGGAGCCGAAGGGAAACCGAGUCUUAACUGGGCGUUAAGUUGCAGGGUAUAGACCCGAAACCCGGUGAUCUAGCCAUGGGCAGGUUGAAGGUUGGGUAACACUAACUGGAGGACCGAACCGACUAAUGUUGAAAAAUUAGCGGAUGACUUGUGGCUGGGGGUGAAAGGCCAAUCAAACCGGGAGAUAGCUGGUUCUCCCCGAAAGCUAUUUAGGUAGCGCCUCGUGAAUUCAUCUCCGGGGGUAGAGCACUGUUUCGGCAAGGGGGUCAUCCCGACUUACCAACCCGAUGCAAACUGCGAAUACCGGAGAAUGUUAUCACGGGAGACACACGGCGGGUGCUAACGUCCGUCGUGAAGAGGGAAACAACCCAGACCGCCAGCUAAGGUCCCAAAGUCAUGGUUAAGUGGGAAACGAUGUGGGAAGGCCCAGACAGCCAGGAUGUUGGCUUAGAAGCAGCCAUCAUUUAAAGAAAGCGUAAUAGCUCACUGGUCGAGUCGGCCUGCGCGGAAGAUGUAACGGGGCUAAACCAUGCACCGAAGCUGCGGCAGCGACACUAUGUGUUGUUGGGU
rnacentral:rRNA from 1 species